GACGAACCGUGCAAACGUUGUUCGGAAUCACUGGGCUUAAAGGGCGCGUAGGCGGGUCACCAAGUCCGAGGUGAAAUCUUUCGGCUCAACCGGAAAAGGGCCUUGGAUACUGGUGGUCUUGAGUGAGGUGGGGGCAUGUGGAACUUCCGGUGGAGCGGUGAAAUGCGUUGAUAUCGGGAGGAACUCAGGUGGCGAAAGCGACGUGCUGGACCUCUUCUGACGCUGAGGCGCGAAAGCUAGGGGAGCAAACGGG
rnacentral:rRNA from 1 species